rnacentral:rRNA from 1 species
UACGGGGGGGGCAAGCGUUGUUCGGAAUUACUGGGCGUAGAGGGCUCGUAGGCGGCCAACUAAGUCGGACGUGAAAUCCCCAGGCUCAACCUGGGAACUGCAUCCGAUACUGGAUGGCUUGAAUUCGGGAGAGGGAUGCAGAAUUCCAGGUGUAGCGGUGAAAUGCGUAGAUAUCUGGAGGAAUACCGGUGGCGAAGGCGGCAUCCUGGACCGACAUUGACGCUGAGGAGCGAAAGCCAGGGGAGCAAACGGG